rnacentral:rRNA from 1 species
GUGGGGAAUAUUGGACAAUGGGCGCAAGCCUGAUCCAGCCAUGCCGCGUGAGUGAUGAAGGCCUUAGGGUUGUAAAGCUCUUUCAGUGGGGACGAUAAUGACGGUACCCACAGAAGAAGCCCCGGCUAACUUCGUGCCAGCAGCCGCGGUAAUACGAAGGGGGCUAGCGUUGUUCGGAUUUACUGGGCGUAAAGCGCACGUAGGCGGAUCGUUAAGUCGGGGGUGAAAUCCUGGGGCUCAACUCCGGAACUGCCUUUGAUACUGGCAAGCUAGAGUCCGGAAGAGGUAAGUGGAACUCCUAGUGUAGAGGUGGAAUUCGUAGAUAUUAGGAAGAACACCAGUGGCGAAGGCGGCUUACUGGUCCGGAACUGACGCUGAGGUGCGAAAGCGUGGGGAGCAAACAGGAUUAGAUACCCUAGUAGUCC